GGAGAGGUGGCCGAGUGGUUGAAGGCGCACGAUUGGAAAUCGUGUUUAGCGUGAUCCGUUAACGAGGGUUCGAAUCCCUCUCUCUCCGCCA
rnacentral:tRNA from 1 species